AUUUUAAGAUAACCCUCCAUAUUUAUUUGUGAUUGAUGAAUAAAAAAACAUGUAUGUGGGAGCUGGAGAGAUGGCUUGGCAGUUUGGAUUGCUGACUGCUCUGACAGAUGACCCAGGUUUGGCUCUAAACAUCCACAAAGGCAGUUCUUCUUAUCAAGUAUUCCUAUUUAUGGUUGCCUUUAUAUUUUCAAAUCUUUUCUUAAAGUAUAAUUAGUUUCCGAGCUGGAAAGGUAGAUCAGUGGUUACAGCACUCCCUGUUCUCGCAGAGGACCUGGGUUCUGUUCCUUGGACCCUUAUAACAACUCAUAACCAUCUGUAACUCCAGUUCUCACUUUUAGUUCAAUAUCCUCUGGGAAGCUGGUUUCAUUCUCUUGCCCUCACAGAAGGAACUUAUAUAGGCAGCCAGUCUUUGGUGCUUAAGGCCACUCCCACAGAGCAGCUGAGCUGGGAUUUAAAGUCUCCAGCAUAUUCGUCAACCCAUAUUCUUUUCACCUCUCAGGCUGUUUGACUGGUAAAGACAGAAUGGCUUGGCUCUUUUGGGCCAAUGCUUCAAGCUCCGCCUGGAACUAUAAAAUGUGCUCACUUCUGGGACUCAGGCUUGUCAACAUCCUGCAAGUCUGCCUGUAGGCGGGAAUCACAUAUUCUUCAACCUCACAGCUUCCCCUGACCCUCUUCCUUCAAUGGCUUCAGGGUUUGGACCUCACAACCAGCAAAUUAUAACCUAUGAGUCUGGGGAAGCUCAGUCCAUCUUCUGUGCCUCAUUUUGCUCAGUGUGCAGUCUAGGAAUAGUGUUUUGUUGCAUGUAAAUAUUUGCAACUGGUUUGAUGACCGAGGGCAGUGUACUCAAAGUUAAGUAAUCCACUAAAAGAUUUUAUUCUCUGAAUCUCAUUGAUUUCAGGUGUAUUAAUUAAGCCUGAAGCAUAAAAUAGAAAUUGUACUCAAUUAGUAUGCUGCAAAUGUCAUCAAUGAUAGAUAUAUGACUUGUAUAUAUGAUAUAUAUACAAGCAUCAAUACUGUGAUCACUUUCGUUUCUUGGUUUGCAAACCCAGAAAUAUACAAUGUCCAAAUGUUUGCCAGUCCCUGUCUAAAAGGAAAAGCUACCAGGCAAUGGGAGGGCUUAUAGGAAACUAGGAGAGGGUAAGGGGAGCCAAGGAAAAAUGAUGUGCUCUUGCUAAUGAGUGGGAAGAAACGGGUUGUUCUUUCACUAGCUAUGCGAAUGGAGUCCUUCAGAAUUGGACAAUUUUCCUAUACUCCAGCAAAACGUCAUUUCGAUUCAAAUGAAGCAAGAAAUUAUCACAUGCAUUAAGGCAUGUUAAGUAUGUACAUGCAGACAGACAUACACACAACACAAGCAUACACCCGGCAGCUGGCCUUUUCUGAGGGAAACGUCUGAGCCCAAAUCCGAGGUAGGCUAUAGACUGAUUCCUGCAGGUCUUCCCUGAAGUGCUGAUGGCUCCCUGAAUAGCUGGUGAAAGGCCUCGUAAAGAAAACCAACAAGUUUCAUUCCUCAUUCUUCUAGAAACUGCACUGUUCUCUGUGUGCUUCUUGUGGUCUGUCCUAACUCCUCCAUUGUUCUAGAAUCCUCUACAGAAAAGCAAGCUUUGCCGAGGUUCAUGUGUUGGCUCUUUACCCUUUUCUUAACUACUUCUAGAAAAUUUGACUUCUGGAAUCUGAUCACACCCCUGGGCUCUUCCACUUAAAACACUGCAGUAUGUCAGGAUGUCAUAUUACUGUGGCAAAGGUUAGAUAACUGUAGCUAUACUGGCCCUGAGCUCCUGCAUCUCUGUCUCCAGCGACCCUCGGCAGCUUCUCGGCUUACCACUUUCUGUCUGUAGUGUAGCUGGACUCACAUCCUCCAUUUCUCCAGGAUUGAUUCAAUUCCUACCUUUUAGCCAGUUUAUCUUAAGCAUUUAAAUAUGUUUAUAAAUUUAAUGACUUCUUAUUUUCAAGAGCUUGCAUUGCUGUUAGGCUAGAAAUUCCAGUAUUAAAACAUUUCCAUACUCUGAGGCCAUGUAAGGUUUUUUUUUUGGGGGGGGGUUGGGUAAGAUCUUAAAAUCCCAGUUUAUGGGUGUAGCUCAUCAAGCUAGCACAGCUAUUACAAUGCUAAAGACAUGUUUAUUAUACCCACACUUUAGAUAAGCUAUUUGUAGCUUAUUCAAUAUUGCACUCCAAUUGCAGACACUCAUGGAUGGCUUCCCGUUGCUCUUAGAAGAAAGUGCUCACCCUAGACUGGGAUACAGGCGCUUUUAGAAGUCUCAAUUCUUUUUUGCCCUCUCUUUUCACAGGGCUCUGGCUGUAAUGACCGCUUUGUUCCUUGCAUGCACUCAGCUGACCUCUCCCUCCACUUGUGAAUGGCAUUCGGUUGCCACUUUUUCAGGACUAGUUCACACUUGGAAUCCAGAGAGACAUUUAAAUGUCACCACAAUUAUUCAUUAUUCAUCAUCCUUUCUCAAAUUCUCUCCUCUGUCUGUAAUAUGAACCCACCUCGUUUUUCUUUAGGAUUUAGCUUUCUGGAGUUUGUGUUUUUGUACUAGAUCUUGUCUGUUUAUGCUGACUAUAAAACAGCGUUAAGAAGGCAAGAGUCUUAAGUCUAAUGCUGCCAUCUCUAUGAUGUCCAGACACUGUUCAUUUAUUUUGAAUAAAUGAUCAAAUGUAACCAUGCAGAGUCUGGUUCAUUUUAGGCGGGGGAAGUUUACUUUCCCUCUAAGUGAGCAUCUUACGUGUACUUGGGUUCAGAGAACUCUGGUUAAUAUGUAGAGGAAGCCAUUUUUGUAUGUGAAACAACAGGACCUUAUGUGAUACUCAAUACUGAUAGAUAACUGUUUCAGACUGAAGCAGAGCAAGCAGAUAAUCUGUGUGUCAUAAAUAAAUUAGAAAUUUAACAAAUCCCUUCACAGUGAUGAUUGAGACAUUAUUCUUUAAAAAAACAUCAUUAUUAGUUUUAGGAGAAGUUCUUAUCAGUUUUUGAAAUUACAACUAUUGUCUUGAUUUUUAAAAGGAUGUUAAACAUUUAUAACUACUGAACUCUGCCAUAUUUUCAAUGAAAUUCAUCUAUCUAAAAUUUGAAUAAAAUUUAGCAUUUCUAAUGCUUAAAGACCUCAAUAAUCUCUGGAUGUCAUUUUCCUUAAAUUUCCGACUAUUCAUUGCACAUGUACUUUCUCUCUCAUUUACUUAAUCGUUCAUAUUUACUUAAAAAUUAUAUUUUUAAAAAAAUUAAAAAGGG